UGAACCGGUCCACACAAUUUGAGAUGCAAGUUUCUGUUCGUGCAUCCAGACGGCUGGCCGGCGAACCCACACACACCUCCCAGCACACCUCGUUCAUCUUGUGAAUCUGUGAAGGGGUAGUGUGGUGUGGUUAGGGAAAUGGUCAAAAGAAGAAAAGCAAGGGGGAAGCAGGUAACACAACAGCCUGCCAGUGCCUCACCAUGGCCUGCAUCUGUGCCUUCUGUUGCUCCAUCAUCAAGAAAGACUGCAGCUCAGAGUCCUUGCUGCUGCUGUGCCCGCCUCCUAUGCUGCUGCUGUCCAGACCUACCGGGAGGAAUGUGAUUGAGAUUUGGACAGAACAGCAUGAUUCAUGGUGGUCUUAUAGCAAUGUGGCUUACGGCGGGCUCAUAAGGAUAUAAAGAUCUUCGCGGCCCUAAGAGCAACAACAACGACCCUUACUAUUGUGGGGUAAGUGGCGCCUUUUGCCGUGCUGUGGGUGGAGUGGGCGGCGUGUGGGGGCGUGGACGAUUGAGAAAUAGGUGAUAUAAGAUUUUGAUGUGUUCUGUCUCGUCUUAUUUCAGUCCAGCCUUGUCUAUCCCAGUGCCUCCCAGCCUCUCCCAGUGCCUCCCAGCCUCUCCCAGUGCCUCCCAGCUUCUCCCAGUGACAUCACAGUUUCUCCCAGUGCAUCCCAGCCUCUCCCAGUGUCU